rnacentral:lncRNA from 1 species
AUAUAUAUAUAUAUAUUUCUAUUCAAGUUAGUGUGAUAUUUAUGACGCAAUUUUUGUGGACAUGUUUGACUUUCUCUUUUUCUUAUCAAUUUUGACUGUCUACUUAUUGAUGUUUAUUAAUGUUAACUGUUUCUCUUAUUUUUCAUCUAUUAAGACAGUUUCUCUGUUUUAUGCCACCUCAACAAAAUAGUGGGGUACUUUUUUUUACCUCUGUCUGUCCAUUAGUCCGUCCAUUUCACAUAGGGUACAUUUUAUGUCCAGUUAUUGACUCCUUUAGUUUACAAACUAAUACUUUUAAUAUUAUGUAGGAUGUUAGUAUAUAUAACAAAAGAUAGGUUACAUCAAAUUUGUCUGAAACGAUACAACCAUCUUAAAAACAGUGGCAAAAAACAACAAAAAAGACAAUAAUAUACAAAACAGAGCAUAGAAAACUACCAGUAGAGACUGAGCAACGUGUACAUCCAAAUGUUUGGUUUUUUUUAUCUUUGUCUUAUAAUAUUCAAACUGCCAAAGUCUAAAGUGAUAUGUUUUCAUUGAUAUUCUGUGAUAGUUAAACCUAUUUAUUUGUAAAUAUAUUGUUAAGUUUUGGAAAUAUUUAAAUUAUGUACACUGUUAAGACAAAUUUUAUGUCAUUUUUUCAAUUGUGAUUAAAGGAGUAGAUGCAUGAAAUUUGUAAAAUAGGUUUCUAAACUAUACAUCCUAGUGAGAUUGGCAAUAAGUAUUUAGGAAAUUUAAAUUAAAAAAAUGUUCUAUUAAGAUGGUUUUUAAGUUUUUGAAGUAUGAGCCCUGUUGGGGUAGGAAUUUAUUAGAGGAAUUUAAAACAACAAAAUGAGCUGCCACACACAUAGUGUAGGUCAUAUGUCUUUUAGUUUGCAAGGUUUUGUCUUGUUCUUUAAAUAAAAAACAAGUUAAAAAUUGAAUUUUGUUGAAAUGCAUUAAGUGCUUUAAAAUUAGAAAAUAGUAAGAACAGACCAAAGAUAAGAUGUAUGUAAGAGACAUUUUUAAGAUCCGUCUUCAUCCUGAAUAUUGUAGAUUCAUUAUUUUUUCGUUGGAUACAGAUUUAUGAACCGCAAAUUCAAAUCUUCAAUGAACAACAAAAUUUAUAUUGAAAUAUAUGCAGACUUUGUCAAAACCAUGAAAUCUAAUGUAUGAUAAAAGAGUUCCUUAAUCCACAAAAAUUUGAAUGAAUGAAAAUAAAUUAAUCCACAGUAUACGUAUAGAUUCAAAAUCAAUACUUUUAACACAACAUUUUGUCACUGUUUUGGCUUUAAUGGACUUGUGUUCCAUUUAACAAUUUAAACAUCUUUGCAAGUAUUGAACCUGCUUUUUAUAAGUAUAUACAUGUCUUUAAAAAAAAAUACCUCUUAACUAUUAUUACUCAAAAUCAAUGCAAGAAUUUAUCAGAAAAAGUAAAA